rnacentral:ncRNA from 1 species
GAUAGAGGAUGCGGAUGAAAUGAGUAACCUGUGAUAAACGCCGGCAAGCGGUCAGCGGUGAAAGGUGAUUCCGCCGAAGUUGCCGUCCGGUUGCCGCCGGGUGGUUGCUGGGACUGCGUUUAACAGGCGCAGCACUGUCAUAUAGUUUUAUAUGGAGCGCUAUCAU